GGGUAAACAUUUAAAUCAUUCUUUAUAUUUGCAGGGUGUUAAAAAUCCACUGUGUACCAUAGUCAAGGAUGUUUAUGGUUAAGAGUAAAGAUCCUUUCUUCUCAAUCCUGUCACUUGGAGUUUUUUUUGUAUAUUUUUGAAAGAAAGUUAGCAUACCUUUUUAUCCUCAUAGGUUCUCUCAGAUCACUCAUUAUCUUUCAUAUAUCUCACUGAGGUUGUUUUAUUUUGCAAAAAAAUUCUCAAGCAUACUCACUUUGCAUUUAUUGCCUGAUCAAAACGGGAUCCGAGGAGGGGAAUGUCAUACUCUUAGAUCAAAGACUUUGGAAAUUAAAAUCUUUGUCAACUCUUGCUGGCAUAUUGCUUAUUAGAGGGACCAUGGGCUAUCAUUUUCUCAUUUUCUUCUUUUUUUAAGU
rnacentral:lncRNA from 1 species